rnacentral:misc_RNA from 1 species
AAAGUCGUAACAAGGUUUCCGUAGGUGAACCUGCGGAAGGAUCAUUACCAAAUCCAAAUUACCUAACCCCGUGUGAACUAUUGUUUAGUCUGUCUUUGGGAAAAGAAUUCUUAUUUCUUUUUAUUCGUUUAAGAGAAAAGCGGUUCUUUUCCCAAAAGAAUCCGGCCUAGUGUUGGAUUCAAAAACCUUUUUAAACCACUUGAUUUUAUGUUGGAAUUUCUUUUAUAAUUAAUAAUAAAAGACAACUUUUAACGGCGGAUCUCUUGGCUCGU